rnacentral:lncRNA from 1 species
AAAUCCUUCUGCUGCAAGUUUGCCGCCAAGGAUUUUUGGGACUUUAUUACAGCGCGAAAGAAAGAACUGGAAUUAUUGAGAUCAGAGUUGCCAAAAGCCCUAAGCGACUGUGUAGAUCCACCUAGAUUUAUUUUGGAGGCAAUUUCAGAGGUUUUUCCGGUGGAUAAAAGGAAUGUGAAAAUUGACCGGAAUAACAAUAACAAUUACAAUUUCAGUAAUGA